GACGAACGCUGGCGGUGUGCUUAACACAUGCAAGUCGAACGGUAAGGCCCGGUCGGGGGUACACGAGGGGCGAACGGGUGAGUAACACGUGGGUAACCUGCCCUCAUCUCUGGGAGAACAGGCGGGAACGGAUGGUAAUGCUGUAGAGGUGCUUGCAAGGCAUCUUGUGGGGUGGUAAGAUUUUUUUGGUUGGGGGUGGACUCGCGGCCUAUCAGCUUGUUGGUGCGGUAGUGGCUCACCAAGGCGUCGACGGGUAGCCGGCCUGAGAGGGCGACCGGCCACAUUGGGACUGAGAUACGGCCCAAACUCCGACUGGAGGCAGCAGUGGGGAAUAUUGCACAAGGGACGGCAGUCGGAUGCAGCAACGCCGCGUGCGGGAUGACGGCCUUCGGGUUGAAAACCGCUUUCAAUAGUGACGAAGCUUUUUGUGACGGUAGCAGUAGAAGAAGCACCGGCUAACUACGUG
rnacentral:rRNA from 1 species